AGCCUGGCUCAGUGUUAGUUUUAUAGCCCAUGAAGUCUAUCUGAGGUGCGAUUAUGGCUAGUUGAAAACUUUACCCAAUACCUUGCUGAAUGACCUGAACUUUGGUUGACUAUGGUAAUUCUUGACAGUUCUAACAGGGA